AACGAACGCUGGCGGCAGGCUUAACACAUGCAAGUCGAACGCUCCGCAAGGAGAGUGGCAGACGGGUGAGUAACGCGUGGGAACGUACCUUUCAGUUCGGAAUAACUCAGGGAAACUUGUGCUAAUACCGGAUACGCUCGUAAGAGGAAAGAUUUAUCGCUGAAAGAUCGGCCCGCGUUGGAUUAGCUAGUUGGUGGGGUAAUGGCCUACCAAGGCGACGAUCCAUAGCUGGUCUGAGAGGAUGAUCAGCCACACUGGGACUGAGACACGGCCCAGACCCCUACGGGAGGCAGCAGUGGGGAAUAUUGGACAAUGGGCGAAAGCCUGAUCCAGCCAUGCCGCGUGAGUGAUGAAGGCCCUAGGAUUGUAAAGCUCUUUCACCGAUGAGGAUAAUGACGGUAGUCGGAGAAGAAGCCCCGGCUAACUUCGUGCCAGCCGCCGCCGUAA
rnacentral:rRNA from 1 species